UGGGGAAUCUUGCACAAUGGGCGCAAGCCUGAUGCAGCCAUGCCGCGUGAGUGAAGAAGGCCUUAGGGUUGUAAAACUCUUUCACCGGUGAAGAUAAUGACGGUAACCGGAGAAGAAGCCCCGGCUAACUCCGUGCCAGCAGCCGCGGUAAUACGGAGGGGGCUAGCGUUGUCCGGACUUACUGGGCGUAAAGCGCACGCAGGUGGUAACGCAAGUGGGGUGUGAAAGCCGCCAGCUCAACUGGCGGAGGCCAUCCCAAACUGCGUCACUUGAGGCCUGUAGAGGUAUGUGGAAUUGCCGGUGUAGUGGUGAAAUGCGUAGAGAUCGGCAGGAACACCCAGGGGGAAACCAGCAUACUGGACAGGUCCUGACACUCAGGUGCGACAGCGUGGGGAGCGAACCGGAUUAGAUACCCCCGUAG
rnacentral:rRNA from 1 species